AACGAACGCUGGCGGCAUGCCUAACACAUGCAAGUCGAACGAAGGCUUCGGCCUUAGUGGCGCACGGGUGCGUAACGCGUGGGAAUCUGCCCCUUGGUUCGGAAUAACAGUUGGAAACGACUGCUAAUACCGGAUGAUGACGUUAAGUCCAAAGAUUUAUCGCCGAGGGAUGAGCCCGCGUAGGAUUAGCUAGUUGGUGUGGUAAGAGCGCACCAAGGCGACGAUCCUUAGCUGGUCUGAGAGGAGGAUCAGCCACACUGGGACUGAGAAACGGCCCCGACGCCUACGGGAGGCAGCAGUGGGGAAUAUUGGACAAAGGGCGCAAGAAUGAACCAGCCAAGACGCGUGAGUGAUGAAGGACAUAGGGUUGUAAAGCUCUUUUCCCCGGGAUGAUCAUGACCGUACCGGGAGAAUGAGCGCCGGAUAACUCCGUGCCAGCCGCCGCAGUAA
rnacentral:rRNA from 1 species